CUUUACUGUAGGCUGAUAUUGGGUUGAGGUACAUCUUGUGUAGGAUAGGUGGGAGGCUAUGAAGUGGCUACGCCAGUAGUCAUGGAGCCAACGUUGAAAUACCACCCUGGAUAUGCUUUAAUUCUAACUUCGAUCCCUGUGAAUCCAGGCGAAGGACAGUGUCAGUUGGGCAGUUUGGCUGGGGCGGUCUCCUCCGAAAGAGUAACGGAGGAGUUCUAAGGUACCCUCAGCCUGGUUGGCAAUCAGGCUUCGAGCGCAUAGGUAGAAGGGUGCUUAACUGCGAGACCCAUAAGUCGAGCAGGUGCGAAAGCAGGACUAAGUGAUCCGGCGGUGCUGGAUGGAAAGGCCGUCGCUCAUCAGACAAAAGGUA
rnacentral:rRNA from 1 species